UAUAGCAGCCAUAUCACCCUGCAACUCACAACUGGCAACCCACUGAAGCUAAGCAGGUGUGAGCCUGGUCAGUACCUGGAUGGGAGACCUCCUGGGAAAAACUAAGGUUGCUGCUGGAA
ensembl:rRNA 5S_rRNA 5S ribosomal RNA